AAUAAUAAUUUGAGAAAGCCUUCGUCUAUCCAGCCUUUAUUCUUCUUUCUUUAAGGUAUACAGGGUGUCUCAGCUAAACGAGAUCAUCCAAAUAUCCGCCUUAUGUACAAAGUUGUUAAAACACUAAUGUUUGAAAAUCGAUGCGAAGAAACAUUUCGUUUUAUAUUUUCAAGAAAAAUUUAAUCUCCGCCUGGAAUAAAAGUAAUGUCCAAAAUGCAGUACAGCCUAAUGCGAAGUUGUCGUUCUUUGUAUUUCCGAAUUAUUCGCGCGCUGGCGUGCGCCCGUAGAAAGUACAGACAGCCAAGAAAUUUCUUUCCGGAGAGAGAAUCUCAGAUACGCGCGAGGAAUAUGACUUUCGAAUCUCAGAGUGUUUUACUUUUGCCAGAUAUCAUCGUCACGGUGCAGAUACCUUAAAAAAAUCAAUGAUUUUAAACGAGGCACGUGUAGGACAAAUUUCAAACUAUUAAUCGUCGUACAAAGUUUUUUGAGUGGUUUUUGUUCGUUAAAUUUCUUACUCGAGAAGUUCGAGGAAGCAGUCACAUUUUAGCUUUUCCCGUGAGGUUCCAGUUACUGAAGUUGCUCUCUGUCGUUUCACGUUGUCAAUCGAGUCGAAGAAAAAGAGUGGAAGAAAAAGAGGAAAGGAGUCAAAGUAUCGGCUUGACAUCGACAUUGGCCUUCGAUCGAUUCGAAACGCGGAAAGAAAUCUGGAUGGCAAAGCGGCACGAGCAGUAAUAGGCGAGUUCUUUCGACUGCGAAAUCGAUAUGUAUACUCGGUACUCUCGGCCACUCUACCUUUCAGACUCGAUGAACAAGGCAGAAGGUUUCAGCCUUGUCAGACUUCGAGCUCGAGCAUCUUUUAUCAGAGACAGUCUCGAUUGGAUGCUCCGUCGUGAUUCUAAUUAUGAAUAAUCGAGAAGCGCGCCUAGGGAAAUUUACGUCCUUAUUCUUACUGCAUCGAUUAUCUGGCCUCUAUUAUCGCUAGACCGUGCAUGUUUACGCAAUCAGACGCAGGAAAUGUAAAGAUGCAGGAAUAUAUCGCAGAAGAUAUGCAAAGUAAAUAAUUCACUAUAAUUGACUUCUCCAUGGGCAAAACAGAUCUCUACUUUGAUUCUAUUUAUCUACGUUUUCGAAUCUAUGAGAUCGCGAUAAUUAGGAUGGAGGAACGCGAUGCUUCUGCGUGAACUAAACUAAAAGGAAAGGAACUGCCAAGAUUUCACUUCCAGUGACACGUAUAAGGAGAAUAAAAGGCGAAACAGGAAAUAAUAAUAACAAGCGAUCCCAUUCACGCAAAUCAUACAUACGUAGGAAAGAACUGCUUGUUAAUCUCUGAACAGAUUACAUCGUAAUGCAUUUUUCAGGGAAAAGAAAUUUAACGUAAGAAAAGAAAGUGGAGAGAAGAAACGGGAGGAGAAUCUCGUUAGUUUCACGGAAUGUUAGAUUACAGCGUAUUUCGAGGGAAAAAGGUUUUAACCUAGAAGAGCGGAAGGAGAAUAACGUGGUGGAAGAGUGGAGGGUGUGUUUGUCUUUUCGCGAUUCUAUUGAUAGACGGCGCCACCGCGCGGAUUAAUUAUCAGUUAUUGCUGCUGGCGCUGGUUGCGGAGAAGAAGCGAAAAUGAGAAUGGAAACGGGAUGGAGAAUAGCAAGCGAGUACGAGGAACAGAGUGAAGGAGAGUAGCUGUAUCGGCAGCAGACCAAUUAACUACUUAUAGGGCAGCUUUCAUCGACUCGACAAUCGGCCGGAUCGAUUCGGGGUGAAUAACUUUUCUAGUCGCGUUCUACGUACUGAUAUUGCGUAGCAUCUAUGACCGAGAUGGAUACGUAUCCGCUCGUUAGGCUCCUUUCAUAGCCGGUCAGUUACCGUUGUAAGUCGGUCUUGCAAAUCGGCUCUGCCAUUUAUCGAUCCGCGAAAGGUAUUCUCCAGCUCGGUGAAUAAAUAGACAAACAACAAGGAGGAAGGAAGGGCGCAGGCAGAGGAGAAGAUGAUAAUACGAUGAGAAAACGAGCGAAGAAGAUGCCAGAGGUUAAAAAAAAAAAAAAAAGAGUAGUCUUUGAUUCGAAACCGAACGGGGAAAUUCUAUCUAUCGACUGGAACGAAUGUAUUCUCGUAAAGAAAAAAAAAAAAAAGAAAAGAAAGAAGAAAAAAGAACGA